ACCUAUAAGACUAGGGAUAACUUCGGGAAACCGGAGCUAAUUACCGGAUAACAUUUGGAACCGCAUGGGUUCUAAAAGUGAAGAUGGUUUUGCUAUCACUUAUAGAUGGACCCGCGCCGUAUUAGCUAGUUGGUAAGGUAACGGCUUACCAAGGCGACGAUACGUAGCCGACCUGAGAGGGUGAUCGGCCACACUGGAACUGAGACACGGUCCAGACUCCUACGGGAGGCAGCAGUAGGGAAUCUUCCGCAAUGGGCGAAAGCCUGACGGAGCAACGCCGCGUGAGUGGAAUGAAGGGUUUCGGCUACGUAAAACUCUGUUAUUAGGGAAGAACAAAUGUGUAAGUAACUGUGCACGUCUUGACGGUACCUAAUCAGAAAGCCACGGCUAACUACGUGCCAGCCGCUGC
rnacentral:rRNA from 1 species